CAGCCGCCACGGUAAUACAGAGGGUGCGAGCGUUAAUCGGAUUUACUGGGCGUAAAGCGUGCGUAGGCGGCUUCUUAAGUCGGAUGUGAAAUCCCUGAGCUUAACUUAGGAAUUGCAUUCGAUACUGGGAAGCUAGAGUAUGGGAGAGGAUGGUAGAAUUCCAGGUGUAGCGGUGAAAUGCGUAGAGAUCUGGAGGAAUACCGAUGGCGAAGGCAGCCAUCUGGCCUAAUACUGACGCUGAGGUACGAAAGCAUGGGGAGCAAACAGGAUUAGAUACCCGCGUAGUCCUGUCUCUUAUACA
rnacentral:rRNA from 1 species